UGGGGAAUCUUGGACAAUGGGCGCAAGCCUGAUCCAGCCAUGCCGCGUGAGUGAAGAAGGCCUUAGGGUUGUAAAACUCUUUCGCCGGAGAAGAUAAUGACGGUAUCCGGAGAAGAAGCCCCGGCUAACUUCGUGCCAGCAGCCGCGGUAAUACGAAGGGGGCUAGCGUUGUUCGGAAUUACUGGGCGUAAAGCGCACGUAGGCGGGUUUGUAAGUAGAGGGUGAAAUCCCAGGGCUCAACCCUGGAACUGCCUUCUAGACUGCAAGCCUGGAGGUCAGGAGAGGCGAGUGGAAUACCGAGUGUAGAGGUGAAAUUCGUAGAUAUUCGGAAGAACACCAGUGGCGAAGGCGACUGACUGGACAAGUAUUGACGCUGAGGUACGAAAGCGUGGGGAGCAAACAGGAUUAGAUACCCCCGUAGUCCCUGAGCGGGCUGGCAAGGCGCAU
rnacentral:rRNA from 1 species